GUCUACGGCCAUACCACCCUGAACGCGCCCGAUCUCGUCUGAUCUCGGAAGCUAAGCAGGGUCGGGCCUGGUUAGUACUUGGAUGGGAGAAGAUCAAUUUCUGGAACUUUACUCGCAGACA
rnacentral:rRNA from 1 species